rnacentral:rRNA from 1 species
GAGACUCUGUGCGCGUGCAUAUCAAUAAGCGGAGGAAAAGAAACUAACAAGGAUUCCCUUAGUAACGGCGAGUGAAGCGGGAAGAGCUCAAAUUUGAAAUCUUCAAGGUUCUACCUUGACGAAUUGUAGUUUAUAGAAGUGUUUUCUGUUAGUAGAGUGGCAAAAGUUCUUUGGAAUAGGACAUCAUAGAGGGUGAGAAUCCCGUAUUUGGUCAUUCUUUCUAGCUUUGUGAUACACUUUCAACGAGUCGGAUUGUUUGGGAAUGCAGUCCAAAAUGGGUGGUAAAUUUCAUCUAAAGCUAAAUAUUGGCGAGAGACCGAUAGCGAACAAGUACCGUGAGGGAAAGAUGAGAAGAACUUUGAAAAGAGAGUUAAACAGUACGUGAAAUUGUCAAAAGGGAAGCGUUUGACACCAGUGUUGUUUUUCCGAAGAUCAAUUACGAAUGUUUUAUUUUUGAGAAGUUAUGACUUCAUCGGCUUGCUUCUCUCUUUAUGAAACUUUCUUAAUGCACUUUUCGGUUAACAAGUCAACAUCAAUUUCUUCUGUUGUAAAAGGGUAUGAGGAAGGUGGCUUUCUUUUCGGAGAAAGUGUUUAUAGCCUUGUACCUCUGCAAUUGGAGAGAUUGAGGUCUGCAGCGUAGAUCCUUCGGGGUUAGAUACAUUUGUGCUAAGUUAUAGCUCUUCAUAGACAACUUGUUGACUAUGUUUAGUCUUGUAGCUUACUCGCUUAUGCUAUUUUACCUACGCUUAGGAUGUUGACAGCAGUAUAGACUGU